AAAAGAAUCUGGUGAUGCUGAUAUCCUAUGAAGGUUGAGACCUGCUACCUAAGACUUCCCCAAAAUCCAUGAAGGUGAUCACUCAGAGCACAUGUUUUUUAAAAAAGCAUAUUCUCAGGCUUCUCCCAGAUCUUCUGAAUCAAAAUUUCAAGGGGUCCUGGCAACCUCUAUAUUUAGCGAGCAAUAAGAGCAAUGUGGACACGUUAUGCCAGUGAAAAGUCUGUCGAUUAGCUCCUUUUCUACUGGAUAAUCAUAUCCAGCAAUGCUUCUGGACAGCACAGGCAAAUCAGCUCAAGGAGGGGAAGCACCCUCCUCAGAUGGGGCAACACUAGUUUAGCAGAUAAGAGCACGACUCUGGAGCCAGACUGCCUGGGCUGAAAUCCUACCACCCCACUUACUGGCUGUGUGUGACUCUGGGCAAGCUACUUCUGGGAAAUGGAGAUAAUAAAGGGGCAACUGGGACGAUUAAAUGCGCUGGUACACGUAAGCCCUUAGAGACAUGCCUGGCAAACAAGAUGCUACCCCACAGGUCAGCCAAGUGAAUAGCUGAGUCAUGCGAUGCUUCCACACUCAGUCAUUCAACCUCUCUGUGGAUUCCCCAGUUUUCUGGAAGUUCUCGCUGAUCUCGGGGAUUCUCAAUGGGGCAACAAAGUGCAGGGAAGAGUCUAGAAGCUGGUUUCUGCCUCCCAAGGCAUCAGAAGUCAGCGCUCCUGGGACUAUUCCCACUGGGAAGGAUGCAACGCAAGGUCAGGAUUCCCUGGGUGAGGAUAAAUCCUGCAACCUCAGAUCUGCAGCCCCACUAGCCAG